rnacentral:rRNA from 1 species
UACGUAGGGGGCAAGCGUUGUCCGGAUUUACUGGGCGUAAAGAGCGUGUAGGCGGCCAAACAGGUCCGUUGUGAAAACUGGAGGCUUAACCUCCAGACGUCGACGGAAACCGUUUGGCUAGAGUCCGGAAGAGGAGAGUGGAAUUCCUGGUGUAGCGGUGAAAUGCGCAGAUAUCAGGAAGAACACCUAUAGCGAAGGCAGCUCGCUGGGACGACACUGACGCUGAGACGCGAAAGCGUGGGGAGCAAACAGG